UUAUUAUAACAUAGCGUUAAUGCAUUGGAUUCCAUUAGAAUUUUCUCUUUAAGUGUGCUUAGGCUAGAGUAGUACUGGGAUGGGUGACCUCCCGAGAAGUCCUAGUGCUUUAAAUACC
rnacentral:rRNA from 1 species